GAUGAGAACGUAGCGAAAUGCGAUAAGUAAUGUGAAUUGCAGAAUUCAGUGAAUCAUCGAAUCUUUGAACGCACAUUGCGCCCGCCAGUAUUCUGGCGGGCAUGCCUGUUCGAGCGUCAUUUCAACCAUCAAGCCCCCGGGCUUGUGUUGGGGACCUGCGGCUGCCGCAGGCCCCGAAAACCAGUGGCGGGCUCGCUGUCACCCCGAGCGUAGUAGUUUACACCUCGCCCAGGGCGUGCCGCGGGUUCCCGGCCGUUAAACCCCCCCAUACCACAAGGUUGACCUCGGAUCAGGUAGGAAGACCCGCUGAACUUAAGCAUAUCAAUAAGCGGAGGA
rnacentral:misc_RNA from 1 species